rnacentral:rRNA from 1 species
AGCUCUCAUACUGCAUUGAAUUGCUGUUGCGGUUAAAAAGUUCGUAGUUGCAGAUGGGAAUGUAGUAGUAGUUUGUCUUAUUGACAACACUAAUAUUGCAUCCAGGAGGGUAUGAUAUACUUGUAUAUUAAACCCCGUUACUUUGAGUAAAUCAGAGUGCUUAGAACAAGCGUAUUGCUUGAAUGGUUGUGCAUGGAAUAACAAUAAAUGAUAAUUUAUUUACAUUUGUUGGUUUUAAAAUAGAUUAUAUGAUUAAAAGGAAUAAACGGGGGUAAAAGUAUCAUAAGGCGAGAGGUGAAAUUCGUGGACCCUUAUGAGACUACCUAAAGCGAAAGCAUUUACCAAGAAUGUUUUCA